rfam:Triticum aestivum genome assembly, contig: Triticum_aestivum_CS42_TGACv1_scaffold_306403_4AS
AAAGUACUCCCUCCGUCCGAAAAUACUUGUCAUCAAAAUGGACAAAAAAAGAUGUAUCUAGAACUAAAAUACGUCUAGAUACAUCCCCUUUUAUCCAUUUUGAUGACAAGUAUUUCCAGGCGGAGGGAGUAGCAU